rnacentral:rRNA from 1 species
AUACGUAGGUGACAAGCGUUAUCCGGAUUUACUGGGCGUAAAGGGCGUGUAGGCGGUCUUGCAAGUCAGAAGUGAAAUUCCUGAGCUCAACUCGGGCGCUGCUUCUGAAACUGCAGGACUUGAGUGCUGGAGGGGAUAGCGGAAUUCCUAGUGGAGCGGUAAAAUGCGCAGAUAUUAGGAAGAACACCGGUGGCGAAGGCGGCUAUCUGGACAGUAACGGACGCUGAGGCGCGAAAGCGUGGGGAGGAAACAGGAUUAGAUACCCAGGUAGUCCACGCCGUAAACGAUGAAUACUAGGUGUAGGGGGUAUCGACUCCCUCUGUGCCGCAGUUAACACAAUAGGUAUUCCGCCUGGGGAGUACGGCCGCAAGGUUGAAACUCAAAGGAAUUUACGGGG